GCAUCCGUAGUGAAGUGGAUAUCACGCAGCCCUCCGAAGGCUGUAACAUGGGUUCGAAUCCCGUCGGAUGCG
rnacentral:tRNA from 1 species